CCUACGGGGGGCAGCAGUGAGGAAUAUUGGUCAAUGGACGAGAGUCUGAACCAGCCAAGUAGCGUGAAGGAUGACUGCUCUAUGGGUUGUAAACUUCUUUUAUAUGGGAAUAAAAUGUUCCACGUGUGGGAUUUUGUAUGUACCAUCUGAAUCAGGAUCGGCUAACUCCGUGCCAGCAGCCGCGGUAAUACGGAGGAUCCGAGCGUUAUCCGGAUUUAUUGGGUUUAAAGGGAGCGUAGGGGGAUUGUUAAGUCAGUUGUGAAAGUUGGCGGCUCAACCGUAAAAUUGCAGUUGAAACUGGCAGUCUUGAGUACAGUAGAGGUGGGCGGAAUUCGUGGUGUAGCGGUGAAAUGCUUAGAUAUCACGAAGAACUCCGAUUGCGAAGGCAGUUCACUGGACUGCAACUGACACUGAGGCUCGAAAGUGUGGGUAUCAAACAGGAUUAGAUACCCGAGUAGUC
rnacentral:rRNA from 1 species